GCCAGCUCAUAUCACCCUGUAGCUCAUGUGUUGGGUCACACUAAAGCUAAGCAGAGUUGAGCUUGGCCAGUACUUGGAUGGGAGACUUCCUGGGGAAAGCUAAGGUUGCAGCUAGAA
rnacentral:rRNA from 1 species